rnacentral:lncRNA from 1 species
UAUCUGGACCUUUCUUCCUGGUUUCCCCAGCCCAUCACUGGAGCUAUCUCAUCUCACUCGAGUCUUCAGAAACUUGAAUGCUAGGCAACUGCCAGUUAGACCAUAUUCUCUCUUUCGAAAUGGCCUUGGAGGGGACUAGCUUCUCAAGAGGCAGCUGCUACUAGUUUUAGUCCAUAAUAGCACCAUGGAGCACUCACGUCGGCCCCUCCCAGCUCUAAGACAG